GCUUAGCCGUAAAAUUUGAUAAUGUUUUACAACUAUUAUCCGCCAGGGUACUACAAGCGCCAGCUUUAAACCCAAAGGACUUGGCGGUGCCUCAGACCCACCUAGAGGAGCCUGUUCUAGAACCGAUAACCCCCGUUAAACCUCACCUUUUCUUGUUAAUACCGCCUAUAUACCGCCGUCGUCAGCAUACCCUGUGAAAGACCUAUAGUAUGCAAAAUGGACAAACUCCAAUACGUCAGGUCGAGGUGUAGCGAAUGUAAAGGGAAGAAAUGGGCUACAUUCCCUAGUAUAGGGAACCACGAAAGGAAUUGUGAAAUCAACUCCCGAAGGUGGAUUUAGCAGUAAGUAAAAAUUAGAGUAUUUUACUGAAACUGGCUCUGAAGCGCGC
rnacentral:rRNA from 1 species